rnacentral:lncRNA from 1 species
GUAUUCACAUCAAAGAUGAUACUGUCCAUUACCAGUAAGUAUGAGCCCUUAUUCAUUUUUUUUUUUAAUUUAGAUAUAAUGUGUAUUUAACCUCAGUAGUGAUAAAGGGACGUGCAUUUCCGGGGAACUUCUCCUGUUGCCCAUCUCCUUGGCCAUGAGAGUUCUCUUCUCCUUCUAGAAGAGAUUUUAGUACAUUUAACAAUGGCGUUGAGCUCAAGUUCUACCAAGACCCAUGUCGUGUUCUGUUUUCCCUGAUGACGGACGUGACCCAGGUUAUUUGUAAAUAAACUAUUUCUUUUUGCAGGUUAACAAGUUGUAUCCUGCCACUUGCUUGUUAUAAGUAUGUUUCUUAAGAUUCUAGCCGUCCUGACACCACAGUGAUAGACAGUGAUCGUCAGUAGGAACUUGCCGGUAACCAGCUAUGUGAUACUGUGGAUGUCACCAAUUAGUUGAGAUCAACUGUUCUUGAGAUAGGUUUAUGUGAAGCUCUCCUGAUUGAUAGGCUCAGCUAUCGUAUUUAGUGAGGCAUAUGGAAGUAUCUAGAUUAGUGGUGCCGUGGGCCUAAACCACAGCACAGAUCACGUGAUCCUAAUAUGUAGGUAAGUGAUUGUGUCCCUAACACUUCUGUUACUAUGAUUUUGUUGCUGGUGUUCAACUAAGAGAUGAUAGAGUCCUUACCAUGUCUAAGUGACCAUGACUUUACCCUUUUUAAAUUUUGGAGACCACUUACAUUUCAUCCUGUGAGUCUUGACAUUUGAAUGUAUCCCUAAUUGUCAAGGAGUUUGCAUGCCAAUUAAACACCAUAUUGUUGCGGGAGUCCAUGAUGGUCUCUCUGACAAAAGUGUUGACCCAGAUUAAUGGAAGCAUCAAAGUAGAGUUGAUGUGUUCCAUAAUAACGGAAGUGAAAAGGAUUAUCAGCAGGUGUUCUGGUGGAAGAGUUGUGUACUUAAACAUAUUUUUCCUAUGUGUCUCUUCAGAUGCUUGUCAAGAAAACCCAGUGAACCUCACAGUAUUCACUGAUGGAAGCUUGCUCUUGACCUGGUAUCCCGUUAAGGUCUUUGCUACUAAACGAUACAAGAUGAUGUGACGUUUUCUCAUUAGAGACAUUCUCAUUUUCAGGUUCCCAUCAAGAGCUCCUGGUGAACUUCCUCAUGGUUUUUACCAGCGCCAUCCUUGUCUUGCAGUAAGUGGUGAUGUGCCUUAAGCAUCCCCACCGACCUUCUGUCUUGAGAUGUCUAGGUAAGUGAUGAUAAUAUCACUAACACUUGUGUGACCACGGUUUUGUUUGGUUUUGUGUGUGUGUGUGUGUGUAAAAAUAGUACCUCAGACAAGUCUAGUAAGCAUUAUUAGCUCUCACAGGCUUAAGAGUUUAGGGGCACCUAGCCCAUCCGUGGAGCAUGUGACUCUUGAUCAUGGGUUGUGAGUUCAAGCCCCACCGUGGGCCUAGAGCUUACGUAAAAAUAAAUCAAUACAUAAGAGCUUAUGUUUAAUGUGU